rnacentral:ncRNA from 1 species
CCUUUGGAGUGUUAUAUCAAACAAAAGUAAUAUUUUAAUAAUAUGAAAUUGGAUACUAUGAAUAAGGAA